UCCUCCCUCUGUCGGCGUGCUUAACACAUGCAAGUCGUACGGUAAGGCCCUUUCGGGGGUACACGAGUGGCGAACGGGUGAGUAACACGUGAGUAACCUGCCCACAACUUUGGGAUAACGCUAGGAAACUGGUGCUAAUACUGGAUAUGUGCUCCUGCUGCAUGGUGGGGGUUGGAAAGCUCCGGCGGUUGUGGAUGGACUCGCGGCCUAUCAGCUUGUUGGUGGGGUAGUGGCCUACCAAGGCGGCGACGGGUAGCCGGCCUGAGAGGGUGACCGGCCACAUUGGGACUGAGAGACGGCCCAGACUCCUACGGGAGGCAGCAGUGGGGAAUAUUGCACAAGGGGCGCAAGCCUGAUGCAGCAACGCCGCGGGCGGGAGGACGGCCUUCGGGUUGUAAACCGCUUUCAGCAGGGACGAAGCUUUUUGUGACGGUACCUGCAGAAGAAGCACCGGCUAACUACGUG
rnacentral:rRNA from 1 species